rnacentral:sRNA from 1 species
GCACAUUACCAUUAACCAGUACCUGCAGCAGGUGUACGAAGCCAUCGACACCAGAGAUGGAGCAUCUUGUGCAGAGUUGGUGUCUUUUAAACAUCCUCAUGUUGCAAACCCACGACUUCAAAUGGCCUCUCCAGAGGAGAAGUGUCAACAAGUCUUGGAACCCCCUUAUGAUGAAAUGUUUGCAGCUCAUUUAAGGUGCACUUACGCAGUGGGGAAUCAUGACUUCAUAGAGGCUUACAAGUGCCAGACCGUGAUAGUCCAGUCAUUCUUGCGAGCAUUCCAGGCCCACAAAGAAGAAAACUGGGCUCUGCCUGUCAUGUAUGCAGUAGCGCUUGACCUUCGAGUGUUUGCCAAUAAUGCAGAUCAGCAGUUGGUAAAGAAAGGAAAAAGCAAAGUUGGGGACAUGUUGGAAAAAGCAGCAGAGUUACUGAUGAGCUGUUUCCGGGUCUGUGCCAGUGACACAUCAACAAACUCCAUUUAUGUAAACCGCUAAUUAGAGCAAUUGACAGCUCAAACCUGAAAGACGAUUACAGCACUGCACAGAGAGUAACAUACAAAUACUACGUUGGACGCAAGGCCAUGUUUGACAGCGACUUUAAGCAAGCUGAGGAGUACCUGUCGUUUGCCUUUGAGCAUUGUCACCGUUCUAGUCAGAAGAACAAAAGGAUGAUUCUGAUCUAUUUGCUUCCAGUAAAAAUGCUAUUGGGUCACAUGCCCACUGUGGAGCUCCUGAAAAAGUAUCACCUGAUGCAGUUUGCAGAAGUAACCAGAGCUGU